UCAGCAACCCUUCUUUACUGACCGCUAGAUGCCAUUGUCUUCAGUUGAUUUUGUCAUGAUGUACAGCCUGCAUCAUGAAACAUGGCGAAACAAAUUGUUGCUAUUGUAUACUUAUUUUUCUAUGAUUCCGAAUACUGAAUUGCACUUCGUUUGUGAAGAAAGUCAGUCCGUCAUUCCAACAAGUUGACUUAGUGCUCAGAAAUCCGAUAGAUCCAGUUAGAUCCUUAUUAUGAUGUCAAAAGCCUGAAACUCAUAUUUGAAGCCCACAUACAGUGGAAUUAUACAAAAGUUCUUGCGCAUGGACCUUAGGAUCUUUUCUGAAUCUUGCAAGUGUAACCUGUGUCAGAAUGUUAUUUGUUGAGUGUCCGACUUUUCUACAGCCAUUCAGAAGGCAACCCAGCUGAAAGAUAGCCAGAUAGAGUUCCAGUUUCAGUGAAUGUACAUGAAGAGUGUGAAGUGUAUUUAGUACAUUUACCGGAUCUGUUGAUGAAAGUCAAAUGCCUUACUGAAUUCGUCACUCAAAUGAUAAAGUACUAUUUGUGACGUCCCCUGAGAUCGUGAGCCGGCCGCCAGUUUCAAUCUACAACGCAGUUUCUUCAUGGAAUCGUGAGGUCCUUGCACGGAGAUCCUUGAUCCAACGCUGGCUUUCGUCCAUGACAGAAGAGGGACUUCUGCCAACGUUCGGAUCCUUAUCUUCACGACGCACGCUGCUUCUUGUGCUUCACUGGCGAAUUAGAUUACUUCAGUGUUCGCUUCCGUCCGCUGUGAAAUACCCGCAGUCACUCGCCACGGGAUUAUGCCCAGGUAAUGCAGAGGAGACGUCGAGAAGAUGGAUUUUCUUAUCUUUAAAAAUCAUCACCGGUCUCCAUCGGAUGUUGCCCCUGCUCCUGGUGCGAACGAAACUCGGUGGAGUGAAUGGAUAAUGCGCCAACAAAAUACUUCUGGCAAUGGAAAUGGACAAUCGCUGGAAGUGGAAAGGGACAAGCGCGACCGGCACCGAGACUCGUCAUCAACGUGGAUCAUCGUAUUGCUAGUAUUAUUUCGUUUGUGUUAGUGUUAGUUAACCCGUUGGCUGCCACGCCUUUGUU